GACGAACGCUGGCGGCGUGCUUAACACAUGCAAGUCGAACGGAAAGGCCCUGCUUUUGUGGGGUGCUCGAGUGGCGAACGGGUGAGUAACACGUGAGUAACCUGCCCUUGACUUUGGGAUAACUUCAGGAAACUGGGGCUAAUACCAGAUAGGAGCUCCUGCUGCGUGGGGGGGGUUGGAAAGUUUCGGCGGUUGGGGAUGGACUCGCGGCUUAUCAGCUUGUUGGUGGGGUAGUGGCAUAGCUAGGCUUUGACGGGUAGCCGACCUGAGAGGGUGACCGGCCACAUUGGGACUGCGAUACGGCCCAGACUCCUACGGGAGGCAGCAGUGGGGAAUAUUGCCCAACGGGCGGAAGCCUGAUGAAGCAACGCCGCGUGCGUGAUGACGGCCUUCUGGUUGUAAACCGCUUUCGCCUGUGACGAAGCGUUAGUGACGGUAAUGGGUAAAGAAGCACCGGCUAACUACGUG
rnacentral:rRNA from 1 species